CCCGCCAUAGUUUAUAUAAAACAUCGACCUGCAAAAUCGAGAAAGGAGAGUGCUUCCUGGUGUGUACU
rnacentral:tRNA from 1 species